rnacentral:rRNA from 2 species
UGGUGGCGACCGGCGCACGGGUGAGUAACGCGUAUGCAACCCCCUUAUCAGAGGGGAAUAACCCGGCGAAAGUCGGACUAAUACCGCAUAAAACAGGGACACCGCAUGGUGAUAUUUGUUAAAGAAAUUCGCUGAUAGAUGGGCAUGCGUUCCAUUAGGUAGUUGGUGAGGUAACGGCUCACCAAGCCGACGAUGGAUAGGGGAACUGAGAGGUUGGUCCCCCACACUGGUACUGAGACACGGACCAGACUCCUACGGGAGGCAGCAGUGAGGAAUAUUGGUCAAUGGGCGAGAGCCUGAACCAGCCAAGUCGCGUGAAGGAAGAAGGAUCUAUGGUUCGUAAACUUCUUUUGCAGGGGAAUAAAGUGCAGGACGUGUCCUGUUUUGUAUGUACCCUGAGAAUAAGGAUCGGCUAACUCCGUGCCAGCAGCCGCGGUAAUACGGAGGAUCCGAGCGUUAUCCGGAUUUAUUGGGUUUAAAGGGUGCGUAGGUGGUUUGAUAAGUCAGCGGUGAAAGUUUGCAGCUUAACUGUAAAAAUGCCGUUGAAACUGUCGGACUUGAGUGUAAAUGAGGUAGGCGGAAUGCGUGGUGUAGCGGUGAAAUGCUUAGAUAUCACGAAGAACUCCGAUUG